rnacentral:rRNA from 1 species
GACGAACGCUGGCGGCGUGCCUAACACAUGCAAGUCGAACGAGGUUGAUCUGGUGGCAACACCAGUGACUACCUAGUGGCGAACGGGUGAGUAACACGUGAGGAACCUGCCCCGAAGACCGGGAUAACCCUCCGAAAGGAGAGCUAAUACCGGAUACCCCCAUUGGAUCGCAUGAUCCGAUGAGGAAAUGGAUUCCGCUUCGGGAGGGGCCUCGCGGCCUAUCAGCUAGUUGGUGGGGUAACGGCCCACCAAGGCAUCGACGGGUAGCUGGUCUGAGAGGACGAUCAGCCACACUGGGACUGAGACACGGCCCAGACUCCUACGGGUGGCAG